rnacentral:tRNA from 1 species
GCUCAAUCAGUUAAGUGUCUGACUCUUGACUUCAGCUCAGGUCAUGGAUCUCAUGGUUAGCAGGUUCGAACCCUGCAUUGGGCU